rnacentral:rRNA from 1 species
UACAGAGGUCUCGAGCGUUAGGCGGAAUCACUGGGCUUAAAGCGUGUGUAGGCGGAUCGUUAAGUACCUUGUGAAAUCCCACGGCUUAACCGUGGAACUGCUUGGUAUACUGGCGGUCUUGAGCCAGCUAGGGGCUACCGGAACAAAUGGUGGAGCGGUGAAAUGCGUAGAUAUCAUUUGGAACGCCAAUGGUGAAAACAGGUAGCUGGGGCUGUGCUGACGCUGAGACACGAAGCCAGGGGAGCAAACGGG